CGGCUGGGCUGGGCUUCGGUUCGGCUCGGGCUGGGUUCGGUUGGUUCUGGGUGGCGCAGGGAGCUGCCGGAGCCGGGCGGGUCGGACUUGGAGCUACACCUGCCUCCGCUGGCCAGUCCGGGAGACGGUGCCUAGUUGCGGCGGCCAUGCACGGGGCGGGCCUGCAGGGCUCAGUGACACGUCACUUCCGCCUAGCUUAGGGUUAGCCUUUCACCGUCCUGGGAGUCGGUUCUCCGGGCCGUGCGGGUCGUGCCCCCCGCCCUGUGAUCUUCGCCCCGCUGGAGCCGGCCCGAGCGAGCUGGCUCUGCGCCGCCGCUGCUCACCUGCUCCCAGCUCCUCGCUCCGCCCGCCGCUGCGUGCGAGCCGAGGCCGCUCUUCCCCCCGUUUGGGCGGCGACGCGAGCCUCUCCGCGAGGCGAUGGUGCUGGUGUGGACUCCGGACCUCAUGGCAGCGCCCUUGCUGCUGGAAGCUUCGCAGGCCCGGGGCUGGAGGAAUGGGCGAUGGGGCGGGAGGAGCUCGAGCUGGGAGUGGGGCCCUGCCGGUGCGGAAGGGUCGCGCCUUCCCUCCCCCGGCCCUGGGCUGCGGACGCGGACUGAAGGAGGUGACCGGUGUGGUGUACCCUCCGAGGGCGGUGGCCGAAGGCCCGACGUGUCGCGUCCAGACUAAGCUUUGAAAAAAGGAAAUUCAUCCUGAAAUGCUACUAGAAGUUUGAAAAUGCAGUUGAAGUACAAACACAGCCUUUAUAUUUAGUCAAAGUGUGUAUACCCAGGGUGUCUCCCAAAAACUGUAUAUACACUUUAACAGCUGACGACUCGUUAUAGAUUCAAUACAAUCCCUAUUAAAAUACCAACGGCAUAUUUCACAGAUCUAGAACAAACACUCCAAAAAUUUAUAUGGAAACAAGACCCUGGGUAGCGACAGCAACCUUGAGAAAGAAGAACAAAGUUGGAGGAAUCACAAUACCAGAUACCAAGUUAUAUUACAAAGCUACUGUACUCAAAACAGCCUGGUACUGGCACAAGAACAGGCAGAUAGACCAAUGGAACAGAACAGAGAACCCAGAAAUCGACACAAGCCAUUCAACUCAAUAUUUGACAAAGGAGGCAAGAGCAUAUAAUGGAGUAAGGACAGUCUCUUCAAUAAAUGGUGUUGGGAAAUUGGACAGGUACAUUGAUCAUAAGGAAAAUGCUUCUAGCUUUUUCCAGUUGAGUAUCAUGUUAGCUGUGGGUUUGUCAUAUAUGCUCUUUAUCAUGUUGAAUGAAGUCCCCGCUAUUUCUUCUUUGCUGAGAGUUUUUAUCAUAAAUGGAUGUUGGAUUUAAAAAAUGUUUUUAUUAGUUUUAGAGAGAGGAAGGGAGAGAGAGAGAUAGAAACAUCAAUGAUAAGAGAAUUAUGGAUCGGCUGCCUACUGGGGAUCAAGUCUGCAACCUGGUGGUGGCAAAAAGUCUAGCAGCGGCCUUGAAAGUGACACUUCUGACUUACGGCAAAUUCAGAGGAAAAAUCAUACAAAUUUUUAACAUAACGAGUAAGAAAAGAGGAUGCAAAUUCAACGAUGAUCUAAGAAGUAAAUUUCCUUUUAUUAAAAAAACCAAAAGCGA